UACGGGGGGGGCAAGCGUUGUUCGGAAUUACUGGGCGUAAAGGGCUUGUAGGUGGCCAACUAAGUCAGACGUGAAAUCCCUCGGCUUAACCGGGGAACUGCGUCUGAUACUGGGAGGCUAGAGUGCGGGAGAGGGAUGCGGAAUUCCAGGUGUAGCGGUGAAAUGCGUAGAUAUCUGGAGGAACACCGGUGGCGAAGGCGGCAUCCUGGACCGACACUGACGCUGAGGCGCGAAAGCUAGGGUAGCAAACGGG
rnacentral:rRNA from 1 species